CGCGGCCUAUCAGCUUGUUGGUGAGGUAACGGCUCACCAAGGCUCCGACGGGUAGCUGGUCUGAGAGGACGAUCAGCCACACUGGGACUGAGACACGGCCCAGACUCCUACGGGAGGCAGCAGCGGGGAAUCUUGCGCAAUGGGCGAAAGCCUGACGCAGUAACGCCGCGUGGGGGAUGAAUGCCUUCGGGUUGUAAACCCCUUUCAGCAGGGACGAAAUUGACGGUACCUGCAGAAGAAGCCCCGGCCAACUACGUGCCAGCAGCCGCGGUAAUACGUAGGGUGCGAGCGUUGUCCGGAAUUAUUGGGCGUAAAGAGCUCGUAGGCGGUUUGUCGCGUCGGCCGUGAAAACUUGGGGCUUAACCCCGAGCCUGCGGUCGAUACGGGCAGACUUGAGUUCGGCAGGGGAGACUGGAAUUCCUGGUGUAGCGGUGAAAUGCGCAGAUAUCAGGAGGAACACCGGUGGCGAAGGCGGGUCUCUGGGCCGAUACUGACGCUGAGGAGCGAAAGCGUGGGGAGCGAACAGGAUUAGAUACCCUGGUAGUCCACACCGUAAACGUUGGGCGCUAGGUGUGGGACUCAUUCCACGAGUUCCGUGCCGCAGCUAACGCAUUAAGCGCCCCGCCUGGGGAGUACGG
rnacentral:rRNA from 1 species